rnacentral:rRNA from 1 species
GACGAACGCUGGCGGCGUGCUUAACACAUGCAAGUCGAACGGAAAGGCCCUGCUUUUGUGGGGUGCUCGAGUGGCGAACGUGUGAGUAACACGUGAGUAACCUGCCCUUGACUUUGGGAUAACUUCAGGAAACUGGGGCUAAUACCGGAUAGGAGCUCCUGCUGAAUGGUGGGGGUUGGAAAGUCUCGGCGGGUGGGGAUGGACUGGCGGCUUAUCAGCUUGUUGGUGGGGUAGUGGCUUACCAAGGCUUGGACGGGUAGCCGGCCUGGGAGGGUAACCAGCCACAUUGGGACUGAGAUACGGCCCAGACUCCUACGGGAGGCAGCAGUGGGGAAUAUUGCACAAUGGGCGGAAGCCUGAUGCAGCAACGCCGCGUGCGGGAUGACGGCCUUCGGGUUGUAAACCGCUUUCGCCUGUGACGAAGCGUGAGUGACGGUAAUGGGUAAAGAAGCACCGGCUAACUACGUG